UUUCUUUCUUGGAUUGCAACAUUAAUUGUGUUUAUUCUAACCACCAUUUUAGAAUAUGUUGUCGAUUAAACUAAACUUUUUCCCAUUAUUUUUUAUUCGUCGAAUUUGACAGGAGGGCAUUGUGGGAGAGGAGGAGGAGGAGCAAUGUAGUCCGGUGUGUGUGUUAGAUGCUCCGUACGAAGACGAGGAGCAUCGCAAUCUAGUUGGAGAUGAUGAAGACGAGUACGAUGAUCUCGAGCCCGCCUAUGCGAAUAUCGAACGAGUUAGAAAACAACUUCUAGAGAGACUUGAAAGCUUCGAAAAACUUGUCGCACUUGACCAAGUGGACCUCGAGCAAAAGUUACUAGAAGCUUCUGACGAAGAACACAACAUAGAAUUCGAGCAGUUGUUAGUGCGCAGAAAACAACGUCCAUCAUCCAGUCUGAAAGAGAGUCGCAUGAAGAGGGCAAUAGGCGGCGACAAAAGCAAGGUAUUUAUGGGCCAUUUGUGGCGAGACACCUUAGAUAUGAUGAUGGAGGUCGAGUUCAGGACGGAGGCGGAGGUGGAGGUGGAGGUGGAGGAGACGGCGGCUGAACUGGAGCUAGCAAUCUUUGAGGAAUUGAUUGAACAAUGCUUAUGUAUGGAUCCACCACAUAGUUUAGAUCCUUCUUGUAAUUAUUAGUAUGUUUUUUGUCGAUCAAUUUAUUAAUUGGGAUUUGGUGGUGAUAUUAAAUUCAUCUUCCAUGAUUUUGGUCUU